rnacentral:rRNA from 1 species
UACGUAGGGGGCGAGCGUUGUCCGGAUUUAUUGGGCGUAAAGAGCUCGUAGGCGGUUUGGCAAGUCGGGUGUGAAAACUCCGGGCUCAACUCGGAGACGCCACUCGAUACUGCUAUGACUCGAGUCCGGUAGGGGAGUGCGGAAUUCCUGGUGUAGCGGUGAAAUGCGUAGAGAUCAGGAGGAACACCUGCGGUGUAGACGGCUUUCUGGACCAUUGUUGACGCUGAGACACGAAAGCGUGGGUAGCAAACAGG